rnacentral:rRNA from 1 species
UACGGAAGGCAGCAGUGGGGAAUAUUGCACAAUGGGCGCAAGCCUGAUGCAGCCAUGCCGCGUGUAUGAAGAAGGCCUUCGGGUUGUAAAGUACUUUCAGUCGUGAGGAAGGUGUUAAGGUUAAUAACCUUAGCAAUUGACGUUAGCGACAGAAGAAGCACCGGCUAACUCCGUGCCAGCAGCCGCGGUAAUACGGAGGGUGCGAGCGUUAAUCGGAAUUACUGGGCGUAAAGGGCACGCAGGCGGUUAAUUAAGUUGGAUGUGAAAUCCCCGGGCUUAACCUGGGAAUGGCAUUCAAGACUGGUUAGCUAGAGUCUUGUAGAGGGGGUAGAAUUCCAUGCGUAGCGGUGAAAUGCGUAGAGAUGUGGAGGAAUACCGGUGGCGAAGGCGGCCCCUGGACAAAGACUGACGCUCAUGUGCGAAAGCGUGGGGAGCAAACAGGGAUUAGAUACC